AGCCUUGCACGGGUUUUUUAAAGGUCAUUCUGCGUUUCCGUGCUCAAGCCUUCGCACGUCUCCGAUAAAAUAAUUUUUGAAUUUUAAAAAAUUAAAAUAAUUAGUGCUCAAUAUGGGGAAGAAAAGGAAACAUGAAAAGACGGACGAAGAAAUUAGACGAAAGAUUAAAAAACUAGAAAAUCGGCUUGCCAAAAGAGCAAAUCAAUCUACAAGCGAUUCGUCGGAAGAAAAUAUGAUAAGCGAACCAUUGGAUGUGCCAUCCCCUGGGUCUUUAUACUGCCAGUCGCCACUGAGGGACCACCAAACUGAUGAGGCACCUCGACCGUUAUCACCAUGUCCGCCUUUGUCACCUCAAGAAAUCGCGCCACGUCCCGACUCGCCAC